CUUUGUUGGUAUUCAUGAAACUCCGGGGGAGAAGGUGUAAAUCUCACGCCAGGCCGUACCCAGCAGUUAGACCCAAUCUUUUU